rnacentral:rRNA from 1 species
GACAUGGCUCAGGAUGAACGCUAGCGACAGGCUUAACACAUGCAAGUCGAGGGGCAUCAUGAGGUAGCAAUACCUUGAUGGCGACCGGCGCACGGGUGAGUAACGCGUAUGCAACCUGCCCGAUACCGGGGUAUAGCCCAUGGAAACGUGGAUUAACACCCCAUAGUACUUUUAUCCUGCAUGGGAUGUGAGUUAAAUGUUCAAGGUAUCGGAUGGGCAUGCGUCCUAUUAGUUAG